UACGUAGGGGGCAAGCGUUGUCCGGAAUCAUUGGGCGUAAAGAGCGUGUAGGCGGCCAGAAAAGUCCGCUGUGAAAACUCGAGGCUCAACUUCGAGCUGUCGGUGGAAACUUUCUGGCUAGAGUCCGGAAGAGGAGAAUGGAAUUCCUGGUGUAGCGGUGAAAUGCGUAGAUAUCGAGAGGAACACCUGCGGCGAAGGCGGGUUGCUGGGCUGACACUGACGCUGAGGCGCGAAAGCCAGGGGAGCGAACGGG
rnacentral:rRNA from 1 species